GCGGCAAGCUUAACACAUGCAAGUCGAACGGAUUAUUCUUUAUAGCUUGCUAUGGAGGAUAAUUAGUGGCAGACGGGUGAGUAAUGCAUAGGAAUCUACCUAGUAGUAUGGGAUAGCCACUAGAAAUGGUGGGUAAUACUGUAUAAUCCCUGCGGGGGAAAGAUUUAUCGCUAUUAGAUGAGCCUAUGUUAGAUUAGCUAGUUGGUAGGGUAAAGGCCUACCAAGGCGA
rnacentral:rRNA from 1 species